rnacentral:rRNA from 1 species
AAUGAACGCUAGCGGCAGGCUUAAUACAUGCAAGUCGAGGGACAGCACAGGUAGCAAUACUGGGUGGUAACCGGCAAACGGGUGCGGAACACGUACACAACCUUCCUUUAAGUAGGGGAUAGCCCAGAGAAAUUUGGAUUAAUACCCCGUAAUAUAGUUGAAUGGCAUCAUUUGAUUAUUAUAGCUACGGCGCUUAAUGAUGGGUGUGCGGCUGAUUAGAUAGUUGGCGGGGUAACGGCCCACCAAGUCUACGAUCAGUAGCUGAUGUGAGAGCAUGAUCAGCCACACGGGCACUGAGACACGGGCCCGACUCCUACGGGAGGCAGCAGUAAGGAAUAUUGGUCAAUGGACGCAAGUCUGAACCAGCCAUGCCGCGUGAAGGAUUAAGGUCCUCUGGAUUGUAAACUUCUUUUAUUUGGGACGAAAAAGGGCCUUUCUAGGUCAACUGACGGUACCAGAUGAAUAAGCACCGGCUAACUCCGUGCCAGCCGCCGCCGUAAGAC